rnacentral:rRNA from 1 species
UACGGAGGGUGCAAGCGUUACUCGGAAUCACUGGGCGUAAAGGGUGCGUAGGCUGGCUUCUAAGUCAGAUGUGAAAUCCAAUGGCUUAACCAUUGAACUGCAUUUGAAACUGGGAGCCUAGAGUUCAUAAGAGGCAGAUGGAAUUAGUGGUGUAGGAGUAAAAUCCGUAGAUAUCACUAGGAAUAUCAAAAGCGAAGGCGAUCUGCUGGGAUGAUACUGACGCUGAGGCACGAAAGCGUGGGGAGCAAACAGG